GAUGAACGCUGGCGGCAUGCCUAAUACAUGCAAGUCGAGCGAACAGACGAGGAGCUUGCUCCUCUGACGUUAGCGGCGGACGGGUGAGUAACACGUGGAUAACCUACCUAUAAGACUGGGAUAACUUCGGGAAACCGGAGCUAAUACCGGAUAAUAUAUUGAACCGCAUGGUUCAAUAGUGAAAGACGGUUUUGCUGUCACUUAUAGAUGGAUCCGCGCCGCAUUAGCUAGUUGGUAAGGUAACGGCUUACCAAGGCAACGAUGCGUAGCCGACCUGAGAGGGUGAUCGGCCACACUGGAACUGAGACACGGUCCAGACUCCUACGGGAGGCAGCAGUAGGGAAUCUUCCGCAAUGGGCGAAAGCCUGACGGAGCAACGCCGCGUGAGUGAUGAAGGUCUUCAGAUCGUAAAACUCUGUUAUUAGGGAAGAACAAAUGUGUAAGUAACUAUGCACGUCUUGACGGUACCUAAUCAGAAAGCCACGGCUAACUACGUG
rnacentral:rRNA from 1 species